GAUGAACGCUGGCGGCGUGCCUAAUACAUGCAAGUCGAGCGAACAGAUGAGGAGCUUGCUCCUCUGACGUUAGCGGCGGACGGGUGAGUAACACGUGGAUAACCUACCUAUAAGACUGGGAUAACUUCGGGAAACCGGAGCUAAUACCGGAUAAUAUAUUGAACCGCAUGGUUCAAUAGUGAAAGACGGUUUUGCUGUCACUUAUAGAUGGAUCCGCGCCGCAUUAGCUAGUUGGUAAGGUAACGGCUUACCAAGGCAACGAUGCGUAGCCGACCUGAGAGGGUGAUCGGCCACACGAGAACUGAGACACGGUCCAGACUCCUACGGGAGGCAGCAGUAGGGAAUGUUCCGCAAUGGGCGAAAGCCUGACGGAGCAACGCCGCGUGAGUGAUGAAGGUCUUCGGAUCGUAAAACUCUGUUAUUAGGGAAGAACAAAUGUGUAAGUAACUAUGCACGUCUUGACGGUACCUAAUCAGAAAGCCACGGCUAACUACGUG
rnacentral:rRNA from 1 species